rnacentral:rRNA from 1 species
AUUGAACGCUGGCGGCAGGCCUAACACAUGCAAGUCGAACGGCAGCGGGGAGUAGCUUGCUACUCUGCCGGCGAGUGGCGGACGGGUGAGCAAUGCCUGGGAAAUUGCCCAGUCGAGGGGGAUAACAGUUGGAAACGACUGCUAAUACCGCAUACGCCCUACGGGGGAAAGCAGGGGACCUUCGGGCCUUGCGCGAUUGGAUAUGCCCGGGUGGGAUUAGCUAGUUGGUGAGGUAAUGGCUCACCAAGGCGACGAUCCCUAGCUGGUCUGAGAGGAUGAUCAGCCACACUGGAACUGAGACACGGUCCAGACUCCUACGGGAGGCAGCAGUGGGGAAUAUUGCACAAUGGGGGAAACCCUGACGCAGCCAUGCCGCGUGUGUGAAGAAGGCCUUCGGGUUGUAAAGCACUUUCAGCGAGGAGGAAAGGUUGUUGGUUAAUACCCAACAGCUGUGACGUUACUCGCAGAAGAAGCACCGGCUAACUCCGUGCCAGCCGCCGCGGUAAAAC